AAAAUAAAAAAUAUUCUUUAUUAGAAGAAAAAUAAAUAAAUAAUAAAUCACUCUGACAGAAAAAAAAAGGGACAAAAGAUCAAAGUGGUUGCUGAGAAGAAGUAUUACCUUCAACCUGCCUCUUGGUGAGGGCUCCCGUGUUUACCAAGUCUUUUGUGAGGAAGGACAAACUACUAAAUGGGGCGGGCACAUGAUGAUGGGUGGCGCUCAUUUCACGCUUCGCUGAAUGCCUUUCGUCACUCACGCACCACGGGUAUAUGUAUAAGCACCUAUGCGCCAGGACCCGACGCUGGGCAGAGCGGGAAACCCUUGCUCAAGCUGAGCCCCGCCGCUUCGGCCGCUGGCAGCUCCACUCGUCUUCCCUCAGCAGAGCUGUUCUCUCCGCACAGAACUGCUGUUUGUCAGUUUUAGGGCUCAGAAGGCAUUUGAACCAGGCUUCAGGGAACGCUGGCCAUUCCGAUAUCAGCACGCUUUUAUUGAGCAGGUGGUAUCCUGAGCAAUGACAACCAGAAGACCCUCAAUUUUCUGUAGCCAGCAGCGUGAUACAAAUGGCUGCCGGCAGACAGGCCGUUAAACAUCGCGAAGAUUCCCUAAAGGCAGGCUUGAGAACUUGUAGCGCCUUCCUUCAGUGACAGGCGACCAUUCCAAAACUCGCUCUCCGGUGUCUGUUUCAAUUGCUUCAUAAGGCAGCGCUGAGUGGCCAUGUACUCAACAUAUGUUGGGCUGAAAGGAACGAUGUGGAAAUCAGGCCUGAGUACAAAGGGCUCCCCUGCUCCCCCAGACGAAAUUCAUCUCUCUUGUACUAGAUAGCUGGCACUUAGAGGGUCCUGAGACCUAUCAUUGCUGUUUUGCCAGUGUUCCUCUCGUUCCUCUCGUGUUACUUAUAUGUCUCUGCUCGUGAGCGGGUGGACUCUCUGCAGCCGGCCAAAGCACAGCGUGAUGGAGAGCGCUGCUUUUGGAGUCGUAAUCCUUAGUGAUCCUAAAACGGGAGUGCGUUUCCCUGCUUUAUGCUUCUGAUGGAUAACUCCGUGUGUCAACUUGACUGGGCUCAAGAACGCCCAGAUAAUAAUACAGCGCUGUUCCUGGGCAUGCCUGGGAGGGUGGCGCAGGAAGAAGCGGGCAGAGAGUCAAUCCUUCGAAGCCAACGGUAGCUGCUAGGAAGGAAAUCCUUCCUCCACUUCCCUCUUUGCCAAGAGAAGAACUUUGCUAGCAAUUUCUGCGUGCCUGGCUCGUAGUGCAAGCUUUGUCACGCAGUCAGGACCACGGGAUGCUUGAACCUGAUUGGAGUUUCCUGCAAAUGUAAUCGAGUCACCUGAAAAUAAAGGCAGCUUCCUUUCCGUUUCAAUCGGUUUGCUUUUGAUUUCUCUGUCCUGGUGUGUUGUGAGGUAAGCCCACAAGAGACCCCCACAUGGAGAUCUUCGAGAGGAAAGGAAAGUCUUGUCAGCAACUACGUGAGUAACUUGCCCAAGUCGUGCAGCCCCAGGCCUUACAACUCUUUGUCUUUUGUGCACAAAACCUGCAUCCUGGUUGGCACACUCCAGGUAGCACAAAGCAGAACUUCGGAAACCAAAAGGCAUGACUAGUUUAGUACAUUAAGAAACUUUUUACCGGGGGACUUUCUUGGAACUAUGGACUAGGUCUGAUUUUGCCAGGUGUUGGGGUCUACAUGACAGGUUUUAUCUGCAUGGCAUCAGUAGUGUUAAUGUCUGGGGGCCUGUCACAGUAUUGAAUUCUGAGAACUCUCAGUCUGGUAUUCAAGAGACAUAGUGCUAGCUGGCAUCCCAACUCCUCACAGGCAAGAAGCACUCAGGAUUCGGUAACUGAAUGUGACACCCUUUGUUAAUUCGAGGACGUUCCCCUCUAUUGUCUGUGUUCUGAGAAAUGUGUUGGACAUGAGCCCUAGAAACCACUAAAUGUUUCCUUGCACCUACUGAGAUGAUGAAGAAUUUUCUCUAAAUUCUGUUAACACAAUGAUUUACAUAAAUUGAAUUUUUCAUGGUAAGCUAGUUUUGCAUUUCUUAAUACAACAGGCCCAGUGGUAAAUCGCAAUUAGAUCGUGGUUGGUUGUGAUUUGAUGUGUCACUGACGUCUAUAGACCAUAGACAAAGUGGUUUUUGUGCUCUGCUUUGCUUUGUCUUUGAGGCAAGGCCCUAUUAUGAUCUCCUUAGAGUCUAAGCUGGCCUCAAAUCUGCGAUCUUCCUGCCUCCACCUCCCGAGUCUGGAAUUAGAGGCAUGUACUACCAUGCUUGCCUUUUUUGCUUUCUUUCCUCGAAACAGGGGCUCCCUAUGUAGCUGAGACUGGCCUCGAACUCAUGGUCCUCCUUCCUCCGUCUCCCAAGGACUGAAAUAACCAGCAUGUACUUGAUGCCUGGCCUAAGCAAUGAUUUCCUGGACAGCAUGUGAAAUAUAGCAUUCCUGUCAUUUUUGUUCUCAAAGCUACUGCACACGCUAAGAGAUACUCUGUAGGAGUAUGACACCAGAGUAACAGGAUAAUUGAGGAAAAGUGUAAAC